rnacentral:lncRNA from 1 species
UAUAAGAUCGGGAAUCACUCCACAAUCUUAUGAACAAACGGUGAUCAAGAACUGAUCAACAAAGCUUUGGCGGAAGAUGGAAACGUAGGUAAAGGCGGUGAUGGUGCUUGUGAUUGACUCUCUCAAUCCGUGGGGCGAUUGACUCUCUCAAUCCGUGGAGAACUAGACUUGUUUGAAUCACACAAACAAUCCUAAUCCUAUAAUCUCAAGAAUCAAAUGAAUCUCUCAAAUGAAACUUAAAGACAAACUUUAAACAAAGACACUCUUUGAAUAAAAACAAACUUGUAUAUUUCUUAGAUGAUUGAAAGGUGAUCUUUACAAUAGAACAAUAUGAGCUUAUAUAUGCUCUUUUCUAACGUCUAUAACACUAGAAGAAGAAAGAAAGUGCACGAAAUAAAGAUGCCUAAGAUAUUAUAGCCGUUAGGCUUAAUUGCUUGAAUCUUGGCCGAGUAAGGAAAUAUCAUUGACUCCUCUUUAUAUCUCGAAAUCUUCUUGAUAUUUCCAUGUGAGAGAAGCCUCUGGUCCAUGUAGAAGCUCCUACAAGACGUGGCCUUUAUUGCGUUAAAGGAAUCUAGUUGUUGGAAUGCAUUGAAGGCUUUCGGGUCUAGAUAUGGAAAGUCUUGGUGUUUGAGUGGGCAAGAUUGAAUCCACCUGACCCAAUGGCUGGAAAUGAAGCUUGAGAUGUUCUUAAGAUACUCUAGUAGUAUUAGAGAUUCUCCUGGACGCCAAAGUCUGGUUUGCAAGUAAUUUAACCCGUCAGCUUCCAAAUAAGGCAUGCUGAGAAUCAUUUGGUUUAGAAAAUUAAUAUCUCCUAAACCAAAAUCGUUUUGGGCUUUAUUCCAAUUCGACGAGAUCCUCUGAUGAGUCAAGAAUGUAUUAAAAUUCACUUCGUAGCUUAAAUCCUUAUGGUCUGGUCGGAAUCCUCCAAUAAGUAGCUGUUGGUCUCCAUCGGGUUCAUUGGAAGUCUGCUGACUUGUAACUUGAAUAUAUUUCUCAUGUAGAAAGAUUUUGAACCAAUUCCACCUCUCCGUGAUUCCUUGAUGAGUUAAGUUUCUUGAAUAAGUUGAUUUGUAGCCUAACUCCUCCUGGAUGGGCUGAUAUACCGCAAGAAAGACACAUAUGUCUUUGGUACGCUCAUGUUUGUUCUCUCCGGGGUUCUUGGUCGGUUGGUCGGUGUUUUCUCCCUGAUCCUUGGUUGAUGAUGACUUGAUGUCCUCAUCAUACUCUCCCUCAUUGAAAAGGUUUCGACCUCGAAACUAUAUCUCCUGCACCAAGAGAAAGCAAGUUAGCUUUCAUUCGUUUUUGUGAGCUUAGGGUCUUACCUUGAUAUGCUUGAGGUUUGGUGAUGUGAGGUUCAUCAGGUGGCUCUCCUUUGAGAAGAUAAGAUAGGAUUACGCCUCUGUUUUGCUCUGGUGCAUGGCUCCUCUUCCUUGUAGCCGUUACCCGUUUGGUAACUUCGGUCUUGUUCACCUUUGGUGGUGAUGCCUCUUUGUGCUCAGCUUGGUCUAACAACAAGUUCUUCUCUAGUGGAGCGUCUUUAUGUGUAAUCUCUUUAGGACCUGAAAUAAUCUCAACUCUUUGGAAAAGAAACAAGUGCGUUAUACAAGAACUAAAAUUUUCCAAACUACUUUGAACUAGACUAUCAUUUGAUUCUGAAUUUAUAUCUAUAGUCUUUUCAAUUUUUCUAGUUGGACAAUUAACAGCAAAAUGUCCUCUUUUAUGGCACCUAUAACAUGUUAACUCAUUUAACCUUGCCGGGUUAGAAGACUUACCUUUGUUGAUGUUGCGUUGUGCUUUAAGUAAUGGCUUAUUAGCUGCCUUGUGAGCUACAGAUUUGUAUUCUUGAUGAAUUCUCUUGGCUGGUGAAGCAACCGUUGACUUGUUGGGCUUCUUUGACAUGUCUUGUGACACUUUCUUUGGACCAGGACAGCAGAAACUUUUAGGUGUAGGCUGUGGUGCUGCAGCUACGAUCAUUCGCCUUGGCUUUGGAUUGGUAAGUGAUAUGUCUGUAUUUUGCUAGUUUUUACCAUGCAUUUACAUCUCAUUUAGUCUAGUUUCAUCCUUGUUUGAUGUCUUUAACUCUUAGUUUGCAUCAUUUAGCUUCACUUUACGCAUUUAGGAUCAUUCUACAUCUCUGUUGCAUACAUUCUUGCAUUUUGGAGUUGUAUCUGGUACAUUCAGGUACUAAGGAGCAGUGCCAGAGCAGUGUACUCGAGCAGUGCAAGAGCAGUGCCAGAGCAGUUCCAGAGUAGUGUACUCGAGCAGUAUACUCGAGCAGAGCCAGAGCAGUGUACUCGAGUAGUGCAAGAGCAGUGCCAGAGCAGUUCCAGAGUAGUGUACUCGAGCAGUGUACUCGAGCAGAGCCAGAGCAGUGUACUCGAGCAGAUUUCUGAAGAGAAGACCAAGACAUACUCGACCAACCUACUCGAACAGGCUACUCGAACUGGACCUGAGAGACUUACCCGAGCAAGAUGCAACCUUUGAAGAAUGGACUACUCGACCAAGCCACUCGAGUACCAGCUCGAGUAGACCCUAAACCGACUUUCUAUUUUGUCGUUUUGUGUACUAGGGUUUUCUACUUUUGCUAUAAAUAGACCUCUUAGGGCUUUGCCCAAAAGAUCUCGCUUUUAUCCUCUGAACAAUAUUUCUGCAAACUUUUGUAAUCCAAAUUACUUUUGAUCCUUUGAGUUUUUGCAAUAAUUUCCUUCUGCAAAGUUGUUUAUCUUGCUUUGAUCUUUAACAUAUGAUGUUUUUAGCGAUUUCUGGGUUUGUGCAAAUUUCUGGGUUUGUGUUCUUGAGCAUGUCUGAGUAGUGGAUUAGGGUUCUUGAGGAUGGGAUAGAUUAGGUGUGGAAUCCUUAGUUUAUUUAGGUGGUUAAAUGUAGAAUUGCUUGAAUCCCUUCUGGAUUAGUAGUACUUAGUGCUUAUUCCUUUCUGAUCAACUGGGAUUUGAACCCAGACAUUUCCACACCCACCAGGUGUUCGAUGAAAUGUCUGAACCAACUACUCCAGAGAUUUACAUACUCUAGCCCAAGAGAUUGGAUGUUUAGAAUGUUUAUUGACUAUAUUAGAUUGAAUCUUAUUGCCUGCUUUGCUAGAUUUCGCUAAUGAUGAUUAGGUCUGGAACUGGUAUUGCUUGAGGAUCUCUGUCAUGAGAGUGAAUUGGUCUGUAGUUGAAUCUAUUGUCUAGGGAUAGCCUGUUUGGAUUGUUAACCACCUAAGUAGAUUAAGGAGACUGCUAUAAUCGAUUACCCUAUCCUCAGGACCUUUUAUCUCAUUUGAUUGCUUAUCUCUUUACCUGUUGCUUACCUGUUACUUAUUGCUGCUUAGUAUUGAUAGUUCUUUCUCUUUAUGCAUGAUCACUCCUGUUCUGUAGUUUUAUCGCUUAUGCAUGAUCGCUUAGUAUUGCUAGAUAACAAAACAAUAUUCUGCUUGGCUUGACUUAGUUAUCUCUGAUCACAUCUUGAUUGAUAGUAAGAGCACCUGAUUGGAUUGAUAACCUCUUAUACUGCAAUGACAUGAAAGUAUAUUAGGGUAAUUGAUAGCGAAAAUCCUAGUAUCAGUAAGGACCUUAAUUUGUCUCCGAAGCUCAUCUCCAGCCUUUUGCACGUAUUCCCCAUACAUGAGCUGCUUCAUCUCUUCCCACGUAGCUUCUGGUUCAUCAUACUCAAGUCGUAUGUAAGCAUCUUGUUCCCAAUGCCUAAAGGCAUCUUCGGUGAGAGUUUCUUCGGCAAUGGCUGUCUUCUCUUCAUCAAGAAUCUUAUUUGUAACAAACCACUUUUCUAUGUCUUGCUCCCAACAUAAGUAUGCUUCUGGUCCUUGGUGAUGGCCUGCAAAAUUGAUGUAUCGAGGUUCACCAUCAUCAUCUCUUCCAGCCUCACUUAUGAUUUUAUCUUCUUCGGUGAUGUCUCCUUCGAAGUCAUAUCUUCCAGCCUCACUUUCGCCUUCACUUUCUGUGGCAAAUUCUUCUCCACGUUCUGGUUUAUCUCCAAGGAUUACUUCAAAUUCUUCUAAACGGAUUAGGGAAUCAAUUUCUUCUUGGCAUUCUUCCUCUUGAUCGGAGUAUGGUAUCUCACACCAUGGUGUAUCUUUUGUUGAAGAUGCUAUGAAAGGGUCAGGUUCUUCAUCAUGAUUGAAGCCAUCAUUGUCGUUUUGAUCUCCCUCAUGCCAUGGCUCAUCAUCUUGUCUGAUUUGGAAAUCAAUAUCUUCACUCCAUGAAUCAGUUUCAUCACACCAACUCUCGUGGCUGGAAUCAUCUUGGCUAUGAUCUGGUGGCUUCGGUGCAAUCUCUCCACGCCAUGGUUCUCUUUUAGGCUCAGCCUCUUCUCUCCAUGAGUCAUAACCGUGUUCUCCAUCAAAACUAUGGUUUGAGUACUCAUCUCCAUGCCAUGCUGGUGUUUCAUAGUCAUCUUCUUCAUCGAACCAACUCUUGUUUUGCUCAUCAUAGUCGGAUUCAUAAGAGCUGGACUCAUAAGAAUCUUCUUCUUCGUCUGAAUAAUCUCCCAUGGAUAUUUUCUCUGUAAUCUCUUGAUGAUUUCUCCUUGCACAAGACAAAUAAGAAAUCGUAUCAACUUGUAUCAAAGAAAAGGAAAGAACAAAUAAAUGUCAACAAAAAUAUGGAAAUUUUGUAAUUUUUUUUUUCUCAAAUAAAACUCGAAAAUACUCAAAAAAAUAAAAAAAAUUCACUUUUUAUUUUCGUUUCUCUGGUUUUCAUAAAAAAUAAAAAUAAAAAAUCGAAAAUAUAAAUAAAACAACAAAAUAUGGUUUUUAUGGCUUUUCUUUUAUAUAAACGAAAAAAAAAAGCAAAACUCAAACAAAUAAUUUUUUUUUUUUUUUAUAAUGGUACUAAAGCAAAUUAACAAGAAUAAAAUUGCAAGAAUCAAAUUUUUAUGGGUUUUUAAGAUUUAUGAAAAUGAAAUAACAAAACAGAAAAUUAAAAGAGAUAAAGGUUGGAUGAAUACAACCUAAUGGGUAGGAGCUUUUGAAGCUCUGAUACCAGAUGAUAUAAGAUCGGGAAUCACUCCACAAUCUUAUGAACAAACGGUGAUCAAGAACUGAUCAACAAAGCUUUGGCGGAAGAUGGAAACGUAGGUAAAGGCGGUGAUGGUGCUUGUGAUUGACUCUCUCAAUCCGUGGGGCGAUUGACUCUCUCAAUCCGUGGAGAACUAGACUUGUUUGAAUCACACAAACAAUCCUAAUCCUAUAAUCUCAAGAAUCAAAUGAAUCUCUCAAAUGAAACUUAAAGACAAACUUUAAACAAAGACACUCUUUGAAUAAAAACAAACUUGUAUAUUUCUUAGAUGAUUGAAAGGUGAUCUUUACAAUAGAACAAUAUGAGCUUAUAUAUGCUCUUUUCUAACGUCUAUAACACUAGAAGAAGAAAGAAAGUGCACGAAAUAAAGAUGCCUAAGAUAUUAUAGCCGUUAGGCUUAAUUGCUUGAAUCUUGGCCGAGUAAGGAAAUAUGAUUGACUCCUCUUUAUAUCUCGAAAUCUUCUUGAUAUUUCCAUGUGAGAGAAGCCUCUGGUCCAUGUAGAAGCUCCUACAAGACGUGGCCUUUAUUGCGUUAAAGGAAUCUAGUUGUUGGAAUGCAUUGAAGGCUUUCGGGUCUAGAUAUGGAAAGUCUUGGUGUUUGAGUGGGCAAGAUUGAAUCCACCUGACCCAAUGGCUGGAAAUGAAGCUUGAGAUGUUCUUAAGAUACUCUAGUAGUAUUAGAGAUUCUCCUGGACGCCAAAGUCUGGUUUGCAAGUAAU